rnacentral:rRNA from 1 species
UACGUAGGGCGCGAGCGUUUGUCCGGAAUUAUUGGGCGUAAAGAGCUCGUAGGCGGCCUGUCGCGUCCGCUGUGAAAUCCCGGGGCUUAACCCCGGGCCUGCAGUGGAUACGGGCAGGCUGGAGGCAGGCAGGGGGAGAACGGAAUUCCCGGUGUAGCGGUGAAAUGCGCAGAUAUCGGGAGGAACACCGGUGGCGAAGGCAGAUCUCUGGGCCGUAACUGACGCUGAGGAGCGAAAGCGUGGGGGAGCGAACAGG